CGGGCAGUAGCUCAGUGGUAGAGACUUUGCUUCGUACGCGGGAAGACCUAGGUUCGGUUCCCGGAGGACCCGGGUUCGAUUCCCGGCUGCUUCC
rnacentral:tRNA from 1 species